UACGGGGGGUGCGAGCGUUGUCCGGAAUCACUGGGCGUAAAGGGCGCGUAGGUGGUUUGAUAAGGGUGUGGUGAAAGUCCGGGGCUCAACCCCGGAUCUGCCGUGCCGACUGUCAAACUCGAGGACUGUAGAGGCAGACGGAAUUCCGGGUGUAGCGGUGGAAUGCGCAGAUAUCAGGAGGAACACCGAUGGCGAAGGCAGGUCUCUGGGCCACUACUGACGCUGAGAAGCGAAAGCGUGGGGAGCGAACAGG
rnacentral:rRNA from 1 species